GAUGAAGAACGUAGCAAAAUGCGAUAAGUAAUGUGAAUUGCAGAAUUCAGUGAAUCAUCGAAUCUUUGAACGCACAUUGCGCCCGCCAGUAUUCUGGCGGGCAUGCCUGUUCGAGCGUCAUUUCAACCCUCAAGCACAGCUUGGUGUUGGGACUCGCGUUAAUUCGCGUUCCCCAAAUUGAUUGGCGGUCACGUCGAGCUUCCAUAGCGUAGUAGUAAAACCCUCGUUACUGGUAAUCGUCGCGGCCACGCCGUUAAACCCCAACUUCUGAAUGUUGACCUCGGAUCAGGUAGGAAUACCCGCUGAACUUAAGCGUAUCAAUAAGCGGAGGA
rnacentral:misc_RNA from 1 species